rnacentral:rRNA from 1 species
AGGCCUUCCGUAGGUGAACCUGCGGAAGGAUNUUAUCG